rnacentral:rRNA from 1 species
CUGGAAGGUUCUAGCAGUCUCCAGCCUACCACAUCUCCACCGUCCGAAACCCAACCAACGUCCAGAUACGCCGCCACGGCCUUUAUAUCCGCUUUUCCAGAUGCUACUGGAACAGCUAUCCAAAACAAAUCUGCCCUGCUCCACCUUCUGCUUCCCCUCCGGCGACGGCGGCGCUGAUCUCCGGUCGGGAGAUAGGUUCUUCCCCCCUCGCGAAUCGAGGAGAUAAAUAAAGUUAUGGAUUAGUCUUACUCUCGUUUAGUUCCGUUUUCUUUCGAUCUGAUCCGGAAUUUAAGUGCCUGCUGAUUUUGAAGGUUUCGUCAGUUUCCACCGGAAUUGGGAUGAAUUGCAUGCAGUAUCAAGUUCUUGUCCCCCCUCCUUUGAAUUAUCUGGAAUGUUAUCCCGUUAAUCUUGGCUGCAACUUCGUGUGUUUGAUUUGUGAUUCGUGUGGUGGGAGUGCAGAGAUCUGUAGCUUCUCUCCGGGGGGGCGAACCCAGGGGGCGCCGCCAUGGCCGAGCACCUCGCGUCUAUCUUCGGCACGGAGAAGGACCGCGUGAACUGCCCGUUCUACUUCAAGAUCGGCGCGUGCCGGCACGGCGACCGCUGCUCCCGCCUGCACAACAAGCCGUCCGUCUCGCCCACGCUGCUGCUCUGCAACAUGUACCAGCGCCCCGACAUGAUCACCCCGGGCGUGGACGCGCAGGGCAACCCCAUCGACCCCGUCAAGAUCCAGGGCGACUUCGAGGACUUCUACGAGGACAUCUUCGACGAGCUCAGCAAGCACGGCGAGGUCGAGAACCUGCACGUCUGCGACAACCUCGCCGACCACCUGAUUGGCAACGUGUACGUGCAGUUCAGGGAGGAGGACCAGGCCGCCAAGGCCCUCCAGGCGCUGCAGGGGAGGUUCUACUCGGGCCGCCCCAUCAUCGCUGAGUUCUCGCCCGUCACCGACUUCCGGGAGGCCACCUGCCGGCAGUUCGAGGAGCACAACUGCAACCGUGGAGGGUACUGCAACUUCAUGCAUGUCAAGGAGAUUGGCAGGGACCUGAGGAAGAGGCUCUAUGGGCACCUGCAUAGGUCCAGGAGGAGCCACAGCAGGAGCCCGAGCCCCUACCGUCACCACGCCAGGGACCGUGAUCGCUCCUCACGGUCUAGGGACCGGGGCGACUACUAUGGAGGCAGCCUGGACCGUGGUGACUACGGCGACUACUACCACCACAGCCGGAGGAGCAGCGAGAGGAAUCGCAACUAUGACAGCGAUGGGAGCAGGCGGCGCCGGCGACACAGGUCUAGGACUAGGAGCCCGGUCAGGGAGGGCAGCGAGGAGAGGAGGGCAAAGAUUGAGCAGUGGAACCGUGAAAGGGAGGCGCCUGCCAGGCAGGGCAGCGAGGAGAGGAGGGCGAAGAUCGAGCAGUGGAACCGCGAAAGGGAGACUGCUCAGGCGUGAGAUCUCCUGUCUGACUGCAGGUUGCAGUGUUGCCUUGUUCACCGGAUGUUCUGCUUGCUUGUCUGAUCUUGUAAUGGUAGAUGGAGUUGGAUUGUGGUCCUAGUGAACUUACUUGGAUGCCUGAUGUAACAUCUUCAGUGUUGUUCUUGUUGAACUUCCUCUAUGGAUUUGUUGAUGGAACAUAUUUCGUGUUGAACUUGUUAUUGUUAUGAUUGUAGUGUGUUCCCUGAAUGUUCUUUUGCUCAGAUUUCUUGUUUCGG